rnacentral:lncRNA from 1 species
AGAGAUUGUUGAGGUUGAUUUAGAAGAGAAGAGAUCAUAUGAAAACUUAUCUUGUCUCAUAAUUAUCUAAAGAUAACUGAUCUUGUUUUUAUGCUUUUCCUAAUUAUUGUAUUGUAGACGAGUCCAAUAAGGAAUGGGCGUGGAUGCAUGGCCUAUUUCUUGAAAGCCUAGAGUUAGAGAUUAUCUAUUUAAACGUUGAGUCACGAGUCUUUUAAGCGGGGGGAGGGGGUAAUUUCAGUUCAAUUUGGCCUUGUGCUUUGACAGUCGUAGUCUGUACUGUUCUAUUUUCUUUCAUCAUUAUACACUUGGGUAGGAGCCUGAGACAAAGGAUCGAUAGAGAAAUAAUUCAACGAUAACAAAGAAAAACAAGGUUCUUCAGACUAAUGCCGCAACAUAUAAUGCUGAAAGAAAGUGGAAUAUCAAGGCCAAAUAAAACUGAAAUUACUUUCCCCUAAAAGGCUCCUGACUCAAUGAUUAAAUAGACAAAUUCUAACUCUAGGUUUUAUGGAAAAUGGGCCACACAUCCUUGAACAUUCCUUUAGUGGACUCAUCUACCAUAACAAGAAUUAGGAGAACAGGAAAACUAAGAUAAGGAAACAUCAGAUAAUUAUGGGACAAGAUAUGUAAAGAUUUCAUGGGAUCUACUAAAUAUAUCAUUAAAACACCAUAUGCAUGAAAUUCAGCGAUAUUCUGCGUGGUAGUGUAUGUAAAUUAAUAUGCAUUUAAGGUCCUUCUAUAUUAAAUAAUCUUAGACCUCAAUAAGAAGAGGCUGGAUAAGCUUUGCAUGAAUCAGUUAUGCAAAGCUUGCAGGAGACAUUUUAAUUUCAUCAUAUUUGUAUAUCAUCUGAAAAAAGAAUACUCAUCCAAUCUAGUCAUGUUUCAUUAAUUUUAUGUAGAUAACUAGGUACAUCUGUCGAUGAGUAAAUUCAUUAGUUAAUUGCAGCAGCUGCUUGAAACUUUAUGUCAGGCAAUGUUGUCAUUCAAUGAUGCUUCUGAUGGUCCAGUUGACUGCAGAUUUUCUUGUAUGUAUGGUUGAAACCAAGUCAUGUUUCAUAAUUUUGUUUGCUAUCUGCUUCUACAGCUCUGAUUAUUUAUCAAAAUCUAAGGGUUUUAGGGUCUAGGGUUUCUAAAAGCAGAUGUAACCUAGUUAAGUUGUCUCUAUUUUCCUUGGCUUUCUCUUACUUUAUAGGAAAAGAAAAGGCAGGAAAGGUCUAAUUAUAUAAAAAAUUUGAAAGAUCCAAUGCCAGGAUUCGCUAACACAGGUGACAUAAAAUUCAAUACUCAGGCACAGCUAGAACCUCAUUGGUUAUUACUAUUGGGCCAUCACCUCGCCACCGAGGAGAAACAUCUAGCACCAUCAUGUUUGGCCAACGGGUAAGUUCAGUUUUCUCCAUAUGUUUCUUUAGAAAAUGACCAUUAAAAAGGUACAUUUAGAGGUUGUUUGGCUGAGCUUAUAAGCUCUUUAAAACAACUUAUAAGCUGUUCAUAACUUAUAAGUUCCUUCGAAGUGUUUUGUUUGGUAAAAACUACCAUUGAAUUGGAGAAACCGGUUUAUGAACAGAGCAGAGAAAAGCGGAUCAUGGAGAGAGUAUGACACAAAAAAAAAAAAAAACCCGUAGCGUCCCACUCAACUUCCUAAUGAAUUUCUCUCUAUUUGUUGUAGAAAAAAAAAGAAAGAAGAUAAAUUCUAAUUUAUGCUUAUCAUCUUACAUGUAGUAAACUAUAGUUGAUGCAUAUUUAUUACUCCCUCUGUGUCCCACUGAUAAUGGCACAUAUUUCUUUUUGGUUUGUUCUAUUGAAAAUGGCACAUUCUAAAGAUAAAUUGUGACCCCUACCCACUUUACGCUCAUUAAAUAAGUGUCUCUAUCUACUUUACACUCUUAACACCUUUUACUUAAUUUCCGUGCCUAGAAAAAUUGUGCCAUUAUCAACGGGAUGGAGGGAGUAUUAUUUAUUUUUUUGUGGAAAUAGAUGGUUUCCCUCACCACCGCCGCUGGCUCCGAAUCUCCGACGAGAAUUGUGUGUGUUCCUCGCUUAUAUAAUCAUCACCAUCACCAUCUCUUCCACAAACAGAAACAUGAAUUCCUCCGCAUCUUUUUAGUUUCACACUUUUUAAAACCCAACUCAAAACACACAAUCAAGAUUCAAUUUUUAUUUGAAUUUCGAUUCCGAGAUUAUGAGAGCCGGAUUCAGCCGACGCUGAUGCCGGAGGCGUCCGCCGUCCUAGCCCAAUCCAUCCGCUGCAGUGUCGGAGAUUCGAGCUCGGCGUUGAGGGACACCAUCUAGCGCCUCCCCGCGGUGCCGAGGCGGCGGCGGAGCCGCCGGUCUCCACCGCGCUGAUGGCGCCGCUCUUCAGCGCCCAGGCCCACCAGCGGCGCGGCUGCCCCGAGCAGCAGCAGCAGCCCCUCCUCGCCGUGAAGGUCGAGGUCGAUCAGCUCAUCGUCUCCAUCCNUAACUAUUGUGGAAGACCCAAAAACUGGAGAUGUUUCUCUUCCUGGAGCGACCUUGGUAGAAGUUAGAGAUCAUAAAAGUUUUAUGCAACUACUGCAAUUAGGGGAAGCCCAUCGUUUUUGCCGCAAACACAAAAUUAAAUACAGAAUCCUCCCGUAGCCACGCUAUUCUAAUGGUGAAUAGAAUGCAUUCUAUUUUGUGACAAUGUCAAGAUUAAAUUGUGGUAUCACAUGUUACUGAUACAUAUCUUAUGACUUUGGUUGGGGGCAUUUCUUCAUUAAAGGUACAUGUAAAGAGGUCAGUUAAAGGAAAGAUUCUUCAUUGUCUAAUGAAAAUGGUAACAUGACCCCAGUGAGUAAAACACUGAAGCCUCCCAUUAUACGAAGAAGCAAGCUAGUUAUCGUGGAUCUUGCUGGUUCUGAGCGCAUUGAUAAGUCAGGUAUUGCUUUCAUUAUUUCAUUUCUAAUCUUGGCUCCCAUUCAAUUAAUGUGCCAUAGCUUUUUGACCUUUCCAUAAGUUCCUGCCUUCUUGACAAGAAGCUACUCCCUCAAUCUCAUUUGACUUGGCCUCUAUUCCUUUUUGGGAUGUCCCAUUUGACUAGGCUUGUUUCCUUUUUGGUAGUCACUUUACACUACAUUAAAUAUGGGCCGACAUACCUCUGCACUACAAUGUUACUCUCCUAAAUAAGCAUGCCAAAAUGAAAUAGGCCAAGUAGACUCGGACGAAGGGGGUACUUUUUAUGUUUGUACCAGUUCCUUUUACAUCUAAAUGCCAGCCUAUAGAAUGAGUAUUUAUCUUGGUAUUGUCUCAAGUUGUUUACACAAUUGUAGGUUGAAAGGAAAGAUAAUCUUUCUUAUCUUUUGAAUGAAGGAAGAAUCCGUAAGAUUUUUCCAGCUAAAUCAGAGAAUAUGUAACCUAAAAUAACUCCUACGAAUCAGAAAAUAAAUUAGGAGAGAAUCAAGCUUAAUCUCCUCUAGAACAUAACAGAAUCCUGAUUAAUUUAUACUACAAAUAUGCCUCAUUGUCCACUUAUUCUAGAUAUUGAGUGAGUAUAAUCUGUGUUUCUUGUUGGCUUCAAUCCAUGUCUUCAAAGGAAGGUGUUGCUUUGGAAUGUUAUACUCUAACUCUUCCCCUUCGUGCUUUUGACUGUGUUUUGUCUUCAUCCGGCAGGGAGUGAGGGUCGAUACAUUAGAGGAAGCCAAAUCUAUCAAUCUCUCUUUGAGUGCAUUAGGGAAGUGUAUCAAUGCGUUGGCAGAAAAUAGUGCUCAUGUUCCAGUCCGUGAUUCGAAACUCACUAGAUUGCUUCGAGAUCCUUUGGAGGUGACGGUUUGAAUAAAAUAAAAGACAACCAAUCUAUUACUAGGUCAUAUUGCACUGAAUAAAACUACAAAAGAAAAAACUAAUACCAGGAAUGAAUAGCAUACAUAUCUAAAAUGCCUUCCUUCAAGAGAAACUCUUUUCAUCCUAUGCUGUUGUCUCAUCAUGCCGCCUCUCUUCAAAUUUACACUUAGGAUGAAGAACACAUACUUGUCUUAUUGAGUAUAAAUGAAAUCUUACAGUAGAUGUAUUCCAACUUUUAAGGAUAUCGUGAUACUGGUUUCUAGAAGUUCAAUAGUUAUCUGUAUGUCUCUCCUUGUUUGAUGUAUAUGUUUGGAUUUUUUUCCUUCUUUUUGAAUAUAACAUGCACAUGGGACUAUAAGUAUUAUUUUGCAUUAAGAUGAAGUUCCAAUGAUCUUUUCUGCUUCCUACUUCCUGCUGUCACCCUUUCUAUUCUGGCUGAAGAUUCAGAUCAGUGGGAAAUGCUCAUUUUUUGAACAUGGCAUGCCUAUUCUUAUAUGCGUCAUAUUAGAGAUCGUUGAGGUUGAUUUAGAAGAGAAGAGAUCAUAUGAAAACUUAUCUUGUCUCAUAAUUAUCUAAAGAUAACUGAUCUUGUUUUUAUGCUUUUCCUAAUUAUUGUAUUGUAGACGAGUCCAAUAAGGAAUGGGCGUGGAUGCACGGCCUAUUUCUUGAAAGCCUAGAGUUAGAGAUUAUCUAUUUAAACGUUGAGUCACGAGUCUUUUAAGCGGGGGGAGGGGGUAAUUUCAGUUCAAUUUGGCCUUGUGCUUGGACAGUCGUAGUCUGUAUUGUUCUAUUUUCUUUCAUCAUUAUACACUUGGGUAGGAGCCUGAGACAAAGGAUCGAUAGAGAAAUAAUUCAACGAUAACAAAGAAAAACAAGGUUCUUCAGACUAAUGCCGCAACAUAUAAUGCUGAAAGAAAGUAGAAUAUCAAGGCCAAAUAAAACUGAAAUUACUUUCCCCUAAAAGGCUCCUGACUCAAUGAUUAAAUAGACAAAUUCUAACUCUAGGUUUUAUGGAAAAUAGGGCCACACAUCCUUGAACAUACCUUAGUGGACUCAUCUACCAUAACAAGAAUAGAGAACAGGAAAACUAAGAUAAGGAAACAUACAGAUAAUUAUGGGACAAGAUAUGUAAAGAUUUCAUGGGAUCUACUAAAUAGAUCAUUAAAACACCAUAUGCAUGAAAUUCAGCAAUAUUCUGCGUGGUAG